UCAGAUUGCCCAUGCGCUCAACCACCUGAAGGCUGCAGGGAUUCUCCACGCAGACCUCAAGUUGGACAACGUCAUGUUGGUCGAUCAGCUACGGGAGGCCUUCAUGGUCAAGGUGAUCGACUUCGGACUGGCGUUUGACGUGUCAGCUGCCAAGUUGGGUUCCCAUAUUCAGACCCUUCCAUACCGAUCCCCAGAGAUCAUGCUGGGGCAUCCCUUCACAGAGGCCAUAGACAUGUGGUCGCUAGGCUGCAUUGCUGCUGCGAUGUAACUCGGGUCCAUGCUCUACCCUGGAUUGGGUGAAUAUGAAAUGAUCAGAUACAUCAUGGAGACUCAGGGUCAGCUACCCGACACCAUGCUCAACCAUGGAUGUAAAACUCCACAAUUCUUCAAGAGAAACGUAGACUCAACCACCUCUGUCUGGAAACUCAAGGUGCCGACAUGAAACCGCUUGUUAUAUUCAAAUGUCUCUAUCUCCAUCUCGUGUCUGCCUUGCUGUAACAUAUUUGGUUCCCUCUACACGCUUGUGCGAGUCUGAUGCACUCUGCUAACCCCACAACUUUCUGAACAGACACCAGAGGAGUACCACAAAGAGACAGGGUAGCAACCAAUGGAGAACAGAUUUUGGAAGUUCACCUCCCUGGACGGCCUCUUGCAUGUUUGUCUUCUUUAAGAACAUUCAACAUGAGCUUGUUCCUUUAGGAAGAAAAACACUCGGAAUGUCCUAGAGAGGUUUUUAUUCAGUACCGGAGCUAACCGAGGACAAGUUUGUGUUUUAGACCCGACCCAUCAGCAAUGGCAACUCUGCAGAUAAAGUUGCAGAGAUGGCUGACGCCCACAUGUUUGUGGACUUGCUGAAGGCGAUUGUAGUAUAUUCAGCUCCAACAUGGUUAUAUAUGUUGUUUAUUCAGCUCUAACAUGGUUAUAUACAAUGAUGGCAUGUUACUGUUGUAAAUUCAGCUAAUGAUUUUAGCUGAAGAUUUUCACUAUCUGGCCUUUGUGAUUUCUCUGGGCAUACCAUGG